GGUAAACACCCAGGGAGGCCAGGGCCUCCCGUGGAGUCCAUGGGAUGGAGCACAACGGCUAGGGAAUAAAAACACGGGAUGCGGAAGCUUCCCUUCUCUUGGGUGCAGGAGAAACUGGAUCCAGCGCAGUUUCACGAGCCGAGCGGAUCCGCAAGGAUUGCUUUGUUAUCCCUCCUUUUUCAGGAGCCAAGGGGCAGCUGGGCGCGGAGUCGCUCCCGAAUCCCAGCCCCAUUCAAGCGGAUAUUGGGAAGCUGGAGGGAAAUCCAGCCACGCCGGAGCGGGACGGAGCUUCAUUCGGGGCCAAUAUCCCCCAAAAAAGAGGGCAGGCAAAAGGCUGGGAAGGAACCUUGGGAAUGGCCGCGCCGGCAGGGAUCGUUUUUUGGCGUUUGGAGCGCCGUUUUUCUGGGAGCGCCGUGGAAAAGCGGAGCCGGCAGCCUCGGUCCGUGCCAAAAAGUGUGAGUCAGCCCCGGCCUGAAGGAAUCUGGCCCGGAAAAACUGAUCCCUUAAAAGCCGGGGUGGGAGAUGGAAAGGGGAAAAAAAGAAGGAAAAUGGGAUUUGGGCUCCCGCAGGCCUCAAAACUCG